rnacentral:rRNA from 1 species
AUACGUAGGGAGCGAGCGUUGUCCGGAAUUACUGGGCGUAAAGGGCGCGUAGGCGGCGCUUCAAGUCGUCUGUCAAAUGGAAGGGCUUAACCCUUUUUCGCAGACGAAACUGGAGAGCUUGAGAAGCAGAGAGGCAAACAGAAUUCCUGGUGUAGCGGUGAAAUGCGUAGAUAUCAGGAAGAAUACCAGUGGCGAAGGCGGUUUGCUGGCUGCAUACUGACGCUGAAGCGCGAAAGCCAGGGGAGCGAACGGGAUUAGAUACCCCGGUAGUCCUGGCAGUAAACGAUGUAUGCUGGGUGUGAGACUAGCGAUAGUUUCGUGCCGAAGUUAACGCGAUAAGCAUACCGCCUGGGGAGUACGGUCGCAAGAUUGAAACUCAAAUGAAUCGACGGGG